GACAGAGGUGCCGAGCGUUAGGCGGAAUCACUGGGCUUAAAGCGUGUGUAGGCGGACCGUUAAGUACCUUGUGAAAUCCCACGGCUCACCCGUGGAACGGCUGGGUAUACUGGCGGUCUUGGGCCACCUAGGGGCAGAUGGAACAGACGGUGGAGCGGUGAAAUGCGUAGAUAUCGUCUGGAACGCCAAAGGUGAAAACAGUCUGCUGGGGGUGUGCCGACGCUGAGACACGAAGCCAGGGGAGCGAACGGG
rnacentral:rRNA from 1 species